UAGGGAAUCUUCCACAAUGGACGCAAGUCUGAUGGAGCAACGCCGCGUGAGUGAAGAAGGUUUUCGGAUCGUAAAGCUCUGUUGUUGGUGAAGAAGGAUAGAGGCAGUAACUGGUCUUUAUUUGACGGUAAUCAACCAGAAAGUCACGGCUAACUACGUGCCAGCAGCCGCGGUAAUACGUAGGUGGCAAGCGUUGUCCGGAUUUAUGGGGCGUAAAGCGAGCGCAGGCGGAAUGAUAAGUCUGAUGUGAAAGCCCACGGCUCAACCGUGGAACUGCAUCGGAAACUGUCAGUCUUGAGUGCAGAAGAGGAGAGUGGAAUUCCAUGUGUAGCGGUGGAAUGCGUAGAUAUAUGGAAGAACACCAGUGGCGAAGGCGGCUCUCUGGUCUGCAACUGACGCUGAGGCUCGAAAGCAUGGGUAGCGAACAGG
rnacentral:rRNA from 1 species